CUCCUUUUCCUUUCACCUCUUUCAAGGCUUCUCCCCUAGAGCAGUGGGACUCUGGUAUGGCCGGUUUUCUGUGAGAUGUUGCACCGUCUCACAAGAUUCUAUCCAGGUCUGUAUCUGGAACAGCCUGUCAUCGAUCUCGCCCUCUAUCGCUCAGGGACCUAGGAGGCCCCAGGACGGCAGUCUGCGUAGGUGACCUGUGAGGCGCGGGCCGGGCGGGGCCUUUUCGUCCUUGACAAACCUGGUAUACUUUUUCAGUGCUGUUUGGAAGAAAAUCUGUUCUCGCCCUGUCGUUUUACAAAUAUAGAAAAAGACCUAAAAGAGAAGUUAGCAGCUGCACCCUCUAUCAUUAUUGAGUGGUUACUAGUACCAGGCUCUUUGAUAAUCAUUUGUUAGGGGUUAUCCCAUUUUACAGGUCGAGACUCAAGAUAUCAGUAAUUUGCUAAGACCAAACGUGAGAUGAACAGUACGUAUUUGACCAAGAUCACAUAAGUAGGAGUUGGGGAAUUGGAACCUACUAUGACCGACUUCAACUUAAUGCAGUUUGUAGUCACUUCUAUAAUAAUGAUCAUCAAAAUUGGAAGUUUUAAAUAGAAAAAUUACAUUAAGGGCCAGGAAUUUAGCUCAGUGGUUCCACCGCCUG